UCGAAAGUGAAAACAGGGAAGGAUACGUGUUUUUUAUGUAACUGGACAUUGGCGGAUUGCAUACCAACGAGAUUAUAGCAGUUCUCACUCUCACCAAGCAGCUCACCGAAAAGCCCGUUUUGUCACAUCCUCACCAGCACUGGAAGCUGGUGCUCUUUUGAAUUUUUGCUGACUGGAUUGGAAAAAAAAAAUGUGAUUCCUUAAUCUCCAAGUACUUCUAAGCAGCCUGCUCGUUUUCAUCAUGGUACCGACAAGAAUCUGUGCGUGGCUUAUUUAUUUACUUGCUAUUUUGAGCAGAACUCAGAAGACAGCACUCAAAAGGGUUUAAAUGAAGGUGUCUAGACCCCAAGAAAGUCAACGCAGAAGCUGCUGGAUCUCUUAAGGACUUGUCACAGAACUGGUAGCACAUCACAAUCGCCAUAGUCUGCUGGUAAAAGCAAGGACCAAGGCAAGUCCAGCUUCCGGGGGAAUUGAAAUAGAUACUACCUUUCACGGGGAGGAGCAGCAUGUGCAAAUAGAGUUGAGAUGAAUCAUUUGUAGCAGU